GCGUUGGUAUUUCGACGGUCCAGCAAGCGCUCCCGGAUAGAGUGAGGUCUGGGUUCGAAUCCCGGCUGAAGCA